ensembl:lncRNA
UGUCAGCUCCUUAAUUCUCUCUUUGUUCUGUGUUUUGAGCCUGUAUUCCUUCAAGAACUUUGUUUUCAUUCAGCUGUAUCACUUGCUGCUUUCCCCGAAGUUUCUUCUUUUAAUUACAAUGUUUUAAAACUUGAGAUCUGCAUAUCGUCACAUCAAGACCAUCUUCCCUUCACUCUUUGAAUUCCUAUGUUAGUGGAUCUCUACUUCCAGUCUGUUUCAGCUCUUCAGGACACGGGCUAUCUUUGAGGACAAUCUUCUGACACCUGAUUCUUGGAAUAAAGGACUAUCUGACUGCAACACCAUUGAUUAGCGAUGGACUAAGGUCAGCUCCCAUUCCUAUCCUGCUUCCUCAGCUACAUGCUGAUAAAAUGAGUUUCACCUGAAGAGUGUGGAGGCUGAGAUGCAGCAGACAGAUCUGGGAUGUGAUCUGACAGCUCGCCCAGCAGUGUGAACAAAUUGCCUGGAAAUGUCGUCAUCAGGCUUCAACUGGCACUAUCUCCCUUUCUGUCUGGGUCAUUGAUUUCCUCAUCUCCUUUGCCUUAAAACUCACAUCAUACAUCAAUUUCUGAGUCUCCAGCACUGAAGCAGCUGCACUGUGCCUUUCCUGCUCAACACCAGCAGCUUUCAGCCUCUGAAGUGUCCUUUACUGAUGCUCGUCUGAAGACCUCCUGAAUGUGCCUCAAGUGGCCUCCCUGCCUGCUACAUAAAAGCCUCUGCUCUGCCAGCUUUUGUUUCAUCACAAGAGGGCUUAGAGCUGUUCUGCUCUCGGAAAUUGGGUAAAAUUUGGUCUCCUUCCUACAAUGACUCAGUGUGCUGGAGAAAUGACUCCUGCCUUGUGCGAGCAGCUAUGGCAGGGCACCGAGCUGUGCCAGCCUCUGCUAGCCACCAGCUACCCUCAGGAGAGCCCCUCAGCCAGCAAGGAGCUGGGGCUGCUCUGCACACGGGUCUUAUGAUUGCUAAAUGUAGAGUCCAUUGAUAAAUAAAGCAAAUGCACAAAGUGUGCAAGAACCAGCAGUUGUUACAGUGUCAUCUUAGCUAACACAGCCUUUUCCUCUGUUCUUUUGCUUUCCUCUUUGUGGCCCUUCAUCAGAGACUUGUGCAAUUUGACUACGUAUCUUUGCGCACCCGAUUAAUAAUAUCAGUUCUCAUCGAAAGAGUUUCCAGGAUUAGGCCUGCAAUGUGCCAUUCAACUCUGAGAAAUG